rnacentral:rRNA from 1 species
ACGGAAGGCAGCAGUGAGGAAUAUUGGUCAAUGGAGGCAACUCUGAACCAGCCAUCUCGCGUGAAGGAAUACGGCCCUACGGGUCUUAAACUUCUUUUAUAUGGGAAUAAAGUGAGCCACGCGUGGUUUUUUGUAUGUACCAUAUGAAUAAGCAUCGGCUAAUUCCGUGCCAGCAGCCGCGGUAAUACGGAAGAUGCGAGCGUUAUCCGGAUUUAUUGGGUUUAAAGGGAGCGUAGGCGGGUCCUUAAGUCAGUGGUCAAAGCGUGUGGCUCAACCAUACCACGCCGUUGAUACUGGGGACCUUGAGUGCACAUAAGGAUGGUGGAAUUCGUCGUGUAGCGGUGAAAUGCUUAGAUAUGACGAAGAACUCCGAUUGCGAAGGCAGCUGUCCGGGGUGUAACUGACGCUAAUGCUCGAAAGUGCGGGUAUCAAACAGGAUUAGAUACCCUGGUA